ACGCUGGCGGUACUUUUAACAUGCAAGUCGAGCGGUAACAGACAUAAAGAUUCAGCUUGCUGAAUCUGGUGCUGACGAGCGGCGAACGGGUGAGUAACGCGUAGGAAUCUACCCAGUAGCGGGGGAUAGCCCGGGGAAACCCGGAUUAAUACCGCAUACGCCCUAAGGGGGAAAGGGGGCAGCUUGCUGCUCUCACUAUUGGAUGAGCCUGCGUAAGAUUAGCUUGUUGGUGGGGUAAAGGCCUACCAAGGCAACGAUCUUUAGCUGGUCUGAGAGGACGAUCAGCCACAUUGGGACUGAGACACGGCCCAGACAUCUACGGAUGGCAGCAGUUAAGAAUAUUGGACAAUGGGGGCAACCCUGAUCCAGGUAUACCGCGUGUGUGAAGAAGGCCCUAGGGUUGUAAAGCACUUUAAUCAGUGAAGAAGCAUUUUAGAUUAAUACCCUAAUUUGUUGACGUUACCUGAAGAAUAAGGACCGGCUAACUCCGUGCCAGCAGCCGCGGUAAUACGGAGGGUCCAAGCGUUAAUCGGAAUUACUGGGCGUAAAGCGCGCGUAGGCGGUUUAGCAAGUUGCAUGUGAAAGCCCUGGGCUCAACCUAGGAACUGCAUUCAAAACUACUAAGCUAGAGUACGAGAGAGGAGAGUAGAAUUUCUGGUGUAGCGGUGAAAUGCGUAGAUAUCAGAAGGAAUACCAAUGGCGAAGGCAGCUCUCUGGCUCGUCACUGACGCUAAGGUGCGAAAGCGUGGGUAGCAAACAGGAUUAGAUACCCUGGUAGUCCACGCCGUAAACGAUGAGAACUAGCCGUUGGAUAGAUUUAACUAUUCAGUGGCACAGCUAACGCAUUAAGUUCUCCGCCUGGGGAGUACGGCC
rnacentral:rRNA from 1 species